CCGGUUCGGUUGAAGAGAAAAAUCCUGAAAUUCAGGGUUGACUCUGAAAGAGGAAAGCGUAAUAUACGCCACCUCGCGACAGUGAGCUGAAAGCCGCGUCGCAACUGCUCUUUAACAAUUUAUCAGACAAUCUGUGUGAGGGAUAACUACUGGAAACGGUAGCUAAUACCGCAUAACGUCGCAAGACCAAAGAGGGGGACCUUCGGGCCUCUUGCCAUCGGAUGUGCCCAGAUGGGAUUAGCUAGUAGGUGGGGUAACGGCUCACCUAGGCGACGAUCCCUAGCUGGUCUGAGAGGAUGACCAGCCACACUGGAACUGAGACACGGUCCAGACUCCUACGGGAGGCAGCAGUGGGGAAUAUUGCACAAUGGGCGCAAGCCUGAUGCAGCCAUGCCGCGUGUAUGAAGAAGGCCUUCGGGUUGUAAAGUACUUUCAGCGGGGAGGAAGGGAGUAAAGUUAAUACCUUUGCUCAUUGACGUUACCCGCAGAAGAAGCACCGGCUAACUCCGUGCCAGCAGCCGCGGUAAUACGGAGGGUGCAAGCGUUAAUCGGAAUUACUGGGCGUAAAGCGCACGCAGGCGGUUUGUUAAGUCAGAUGUGAAAUCCCCGGGCUCAACCUGGGAACUGCAUCUGAUACUGGCAAGCUUGAGUCUCGUAGAGGGGGGUAGAAUUCCAGGUGUAGCGGUGAAAUGCGUAGAGAUCUGGAGGAAUACCGGUGGCGAAGGCGGCCCCCUGGACGAAGACUGACGCUCAGGUGCGAAAGCGUGGGGAGCAAACAGGAUUAGAUCCCCUGGUAGUCCACGCCGUAAACGAUGUCGACUUGGAGGUUGUGCCCUUGAGGCGUGGCUUCCGGAGCUAACGCGUUAAGUCGACCGCCUGGGGAGUACGGCCGCAAGGUUAAAACUCAAAUGAAUUGACGGGGGCCCGCACAAGCGGUGGAGCAUGUGGUUUAAUUCGAUGCAACGCGAAGAACCUUACCUGGUCUUGACAUCCACAGUGAGACAGGUGCUGCAUGGCUGUCGUCAGCUCGUGUUGUGAAAUGUUGGGUUAAGUCCCGCAACGAGCGCAACCCUUAUCCUUUGUUGCCAGCGGUCCGGCCGGGAACUCAAAGGAGACUGCCAGUGAUAAACUGGAGGAAGGUGGGGAUGACGUCAAGUCAUCAUGGCCCUUACGACCAGGGCUACACACGUGCUACAAUGGCGCAUACAAAGAGAAGCGACCUCGCGAGAGCAAGCGGACCUCAUAAAGUGCGUCGUAGUCCGGAUUGGAGUCUGCAACUCGACUCCAUGAAGUCGGAAUCGCUAGUAAUCGUGGAUCAGAAUGCCACGGUGAAUACGUUCCCGGGCCUUGUACACACCGCCCGUCACACCAUGGGAGUGGGUUGCAAAAGAAGUAGGUAGCUUAACCUUCGGGAGGGCGCUUACCACUUUGUGAUUCAUGACUGGGGUGAAGUCGUAACAAGGUAACCGUAGGGGAACCUGCGGUUG
rnacentral:rRNA from 1 species